rnacentral:rRNA from 1 species
GUGGGGAAUCUUGCGCAAUGGGCGAAAGCCUGACGCAGCCAUGCCGCGUGUAUGAUGAAGGUCUUAGGAUUGUAAAAUUCUUUCACCGGGGACGAUAAUGACGGUACCCAGAGAAGAAGCUCCGGCUAACUUCGUGCCAGCAGCCGCGGUAAUACGAAGGGGGCUAGCGUUGCUCGGAAUUACUGGGCGUAAAGGGCGCGUAGGCGGACAGCUUAGUCAGAGGUGAAAGCCCAGGGCUCAACCUUGGAAUUGCCUUUGAUACUGGCUGUCUUGAGUUUGGGAGAGGUGAGUGGAACUCCGAGUGUAGAGGUGAAAUUCGUAGAUAUUCGGAAGAACACCAGUGGCGAAGGCGACUCACUGGCCCAAUACUGACGCUGAGGCGCGAAAGCGUGGGGAGCAAACAGGAUUAGAAACCCGGGUAGUCC